CAACAGCGUAUAUUAAAGUUGUUGCAGUUAAAACGCUCGUAGUCGGAUUUCGGGGCGGGCGGGCCGGUCUGCCGAUGGGUAUGCACUGGUCUGGCCGUCCUUCCUUCCGGAGACCGUGCGUGCUCUUAACUGAGUGCGCUCGGGAGACGGAUCGUUUACUUUGAAAAAAUCAGAGUGUUUCAAGCAGGCAGCUCGCUCUUGCAUGGAUUAGCAUGGGAUAAUGAAAUAGGACUUUGGUGAUAUUUUGUUGGUUUCGAACACCGAAGUAAUGAUUAACAGGGACAGUCAGGGGCACUCGUAUUCCGCCGAGAGAGGUGAAAUUCUCAGACCAGCGGAAGACGAACCACUGCGAAAGCAUUUGCCAGGGAUGUUUUCACUGA
rnacentral:rRNA from 1 species